rnacentral:rRNA from 1 species
GGGGACCCGCAAGCGGUGGAUGAUGUGGAUUAAUUCGAUGCAACGCGAAAAACCUUACCUACCCUUGACAUGUCACUAACGAAGUAGAGAUACAUUAGGUGCCCGUAAGGGAAAGUGAACACAGGUGCUGCAUGGCUGUCGUCAGCUCGUGUCGUGAGAUGUUGGGUUAAGUCCCGCAACGAGCGCAACCCUUGUCUUUAGUUGCUACGCAAGAGCACUCUAAAGAGACUGCCGGUGACAAACCGGAGGAAGGUGGGGAUGACGUCAAGUCCUCAUGGCCCUUAUGGGUAGGGCUUCACACGUCAUACAAUGGUGCAUACAGAGGGCUGCCAACCCGCGAGGGGGAGCUAAUCUCAGAAAAUGCAUCGUAGUCCGGAUCGUAGUCUGCAACUCGACUACGUGAAGCUGGAAUCGCUAGUAAUCGCGGAUCAGAAUGUCGCGGUGAAUACGUUCCCGGGUCUUGUACACACC